GUGAACUAUAUACCAACUCAGUAUUUUCCAAUGAAACCCAAAUUCACAUAUCAUUAAAGGAAAACUUAUUGUCUUCUCCAUUUUAAUAUGCAGCUAUAUUAACACAUGUCUAUAAAAGUCUAUGAAUAAAUCGUUAUGGUCAUUCAGACUGCAUUACAUAUUUGCAACAUGGAUUCAGUCUUGUUCUCCUGCCCAUGAUUUAUGAUGAGUCUGACUACUGCACAACACAGCUUACAAAAAGGGACUACCAACAUUCUUCUAAUUUAACUUCCAUUGUGAAGGAUUUUCUUAUUAAUCGUGCAGGAGUUUCCACUUCAGUGUGAAGUAGUUGUAAUUUGUCUCUGUUCUUGUCUUUUUGGCAGACUGAAUUAUCUGCUCCAAUAAUCCCAUUUAGGCUGGGCAUGCAACCGAGCCUUUCUUAGAUUUUGUUGUUGGACAUGGAGAGAUAUGGUCAACUCAAUUGUUGUCAUUUGCCAUUCAGAAGUCUGAAGCCCCUUGCAGUUGUAUGGACACACGAGAAGUUUUAGUUGUAAAUCCUACAGGUUCUAACCAAGUAGAUCCUGACUAUUUGGAAUCUGAGAAACGACUUGAGAAAUGGUUUGUUCAACGACUAGCUGAGACAAUAGGGUUUAUUACGAGUACACCUGAAAACAUUCCUACAACCUUGAAAAGAUAUAGAAGUGAUUUCUCUGCAGCUACAACCUUGAAAAGAUAUAGAAGUGAUUUCUCUGCAGCCAUAAUUAGUAAACUUGUUAAGGCUGGUAAGGUCACUAUCUGGACUGAUGUUGAUGGGGUCUUCAGUGCAGAUCCCAGAAAAGGAAAUCUUGUAUCAACUUACUGCCUUGACACUUAAUCUGGAAAUUUACUACAGUUUUUUUAUGUGUUAUGCAAUAUGAAAUGUAGAUAAAAAUGUGUGCAUGCAAUUUCAAACUCAUCAUCUUUUUUUUGUCAAGGCUUAUGCCUCCAUGAAGAAUUUAUAGUAUGUUUGUGUGACUGCUUGCUGUAGUAUUCUGAAA